rnacentral:miRNA from 1 species
UGCCCUGAGACUUUUGCUC